rnacentral:lncRNA from 1 species
GGCACAGACCCCGGAUUGUUUUGCACUUUCACCACACUGGGUCAUGGUUUUCAAACAGGAAUAGCAGUCGUGGAAUUUAUUAUCUCCAGCAUCACUUGUUAAAUUUUACACUAUGCAAAUGAUAUAUAAAGUAUACUGAAGGGGAAGCUACGGAAUAUGGAAUGAGCGAGGCCUGUUAAGUGAAGGGACAGAUGGACUUCGCAGAGCGCUAAUGGAGGGACCUCUGCACCAUCAGUGGGAUGAACACAGUCCCCCUCUGCGGGUCCGGAAUAGGGCGAGGGGGCUGGUAACGAGAGCCGGCUCUGUCUACACGAGUCCUGUAACAUGGUUGGAAAGUUGAAACACACAUCUAUUUCAUUGGAAAACCCCUGGCAGAUAGCCUAGUUAAUUUCCCUGAACAAUUUCAGUAUUUAUUCGGUAGGAUUUUAAAUAGUCCCAAGCACACACAGUCUUCCUGAAAUGA